rnacentral:rRNA from 1 species
AUUCCAGCUCCAAUAGCGUAUGUUGAAGUUGUUGCAGUUAAAAAGCUCGUAGUUGGAUUUUGGAAAAGCUAGUUGGUCCACCGCAAGGUGAGAACUGAUGGGCAUAUUCUUCCUCUCGAAAACGGUGCGUGCAGUUUAUUCUGUGUGUAUCGGGUUCGGGACUUUUACUGUGAAAAAAUUAGGGUGUUCAAAGCAGGCUAUCGCUUGAAUAUUUCAGCAUGGAAUAAUAGAAUAGGACAUUGGUUCUAUUUUGUUGGUUUCUGGAACCGAAGUAAUGAUUAAUAGGGAUAGUUGGGGGCAUUAGUAUUUAAUUGUCAGAGGUGAAAUUCUUGGAUUUAUGAAAGACUAACUUCUGCGAAAGCAUUUGCCAAGGAUGUUUUCAUUG